GAACGAAACUGCGGACCAGGCAAGUUCUCGAUGACGCAAACCCUAACUUUUUAACUAAACGCAGCGCAGCGCUGAAGAGGCCGCAACGACGUCGGAUUGGACAUUCUUCUCCCCCGUCCUGCGUUCAAAUUAGGCAAAGUUAGAGCAGACAAAGAAAUGAAGCUCCAGAGCAGAAGCGGAAAACUGCGUCGGGGUUCGUGCAAUUACUGAUCUCUAGGGUUUUUGACAACAAUCAAUUGUUUCUAGAUUCGAUUAUUGAGGGUGAGGUUGCUUCGUGGCGAAGAUAGGGGAUUCUAGGGCAUACUGAAAUGCAGACGGAGGCGAGAGUUGGGGUGGUGGUGGAAGGAGGGCAGAGAGCUCUGAAUACUGGGCAUGGAGGCGUGGCGGUCGAAGGGGGUGUGAGAACACUGGCGCAGUCCCUGCCACAGAAACAGCCGAAGCCUCUUCACCAACAGUCUCAGAUUGGAACGGUGUCGCAGCUUCUCGCCGGAGGUGUUGCCGGAGCUCUUAGUAAAACGUGUACGGCGCCUCUUGCUCGCCUUACCAUUCUUUUUCAGGUGCAAGGAAUGCACUCAGAUGUUGCAACAUUGAGAAAGGCUAGCAUAUGGCGUGAGGCCUCAAGGAUUGCUGGUGAAGAAGGAUUUAGAGCUUUCUGGAAAGGAAAUCUGGUUACAAUUGCUCAUCGUCUUCCUUAUUCUUCUGUCAAUUUCUAUGCAUACGAACAUUAUAAAAAGUUCCUACAAACAAUGCCAGGACUGGAAAAUCAUAGGGAGAACUUGAGUACAGACCUUUGCGUACAUUUUGUGGGUGGUGGGUUGGCAGGAAUAACAGCUGCAUCAGCUACAUAUCCUUUGGAUCUUGUAAGGACGCGCCUUGCAGCUCAGACAAAUGUGAUGUACUACAAAGGUAUUUGGCAAACUUUGCGAACUAUUAGUCGAGAUGAGGGUCUUUUUGGCCUCUAUAAGGGACUUGGAGCAACCCUCUUGGGUGUCGGGCCCAGUAUAGCUAUCAGUUUUUCCGUGUAUGAGACCUUGAGAGCUUCUUGGCAGUCACAUAGGCCCAAUGAUUCUACUGUGUUGGUUAGUCUUGCUUGUGGGAGCCUUUCAGGAAUUGCGUCAUCAACAGAGAAAACUGGAUGUGGUGCAGGCUCUGCACCAAGUCUCUAACCAGACUGACCCCUAGAGCCAGAAACCAGACUGGAGUCAUUUUUUUAUCUGCUUUGCAGUCGGUUCUAUUAUAGGGUGGCACUGCUGUCAGGUGAACCUAUGUUCUCAGUUACCAAAUGUGAGAGGUGUCCUCUCUGAGCAACAUUUCCAUUGGAUCUUGUGAGACGAAGGAAGCAGUUGGAAGGGGCCGGUGGCCGAGCCCGUGUCUACACAACAGGCCUUUUUGGUACGUUUAAGCAAAUAUUCAGGACGGAAGGCUUACGUGGCCUGUAUAGAGGGAUCCUACCAGAAUACUACAAGGUGGUACCUGGUGUAGGUAUUUGUUUUAUGACGUACGAGACAUUGAAGAUGCUGUUAUCAGAUGUGAGUGCUGGUUUAUAGUCGAUGCCCGUCUUUCAGAAGUGAUGCCAAAGGAAAGGAGGGUAUGAGUGAAAGAAGCUGCUAUGACAAAUCUCAUGGUAGUUAGUUUUGCGGUGCUGCUGUGGGAAUUACAUUUUUCCAUGUAUAGAUUGACGAUCCUAUAUUACACUUAGAAUUGAAUGCUACACCACUCUCUUACAAUUCUCAAACAUAUUCAAUCUUUUUCUUGUCUGAGAAAUCUUAGGCCCAUUUCUUGCAACUGUAUUUGAUCCAUCAUAAUACCAUGUAUGUAAAAUUGCAACUAUGAUGUGUUGCUGUCUUUUUCGAAUUCAAAAAGAAAAUGAAGUAGAGCUUAUUUU